UGUGAGCCGCCCGAGUCCCUCUGGGAGAUGGUGGUGGGAUAUAAAUAAAGUUUUAUUAUUUAUUAUUAUUUACAGCUAAAUUAGCAGGCAGAAAAUCCUUGGUUCAACUUGAAUAAGGAAAGAGUGUGAUUGCAGCUGCAUGAUUGAAAACCCACAAAGCAAAGGGCUUUCAUCAUAAGGGAAGAAAGCUUACCUUUAAAUUAAUCCCAGAUGUCUCCUGAGGAAUAUGUGUAACAACCAAGUAGCAACACUAAGAACAGACCACGGAACAACAGACUGGUUCAGGAUUGGGAAAGAAGAAAAGCAGGGCUGUAUACUCUCACCCUACCUAUUCAACUUGUAAAAAGAACACAUCAUGUGAUAUGCAGGGCUCAAUAAAUUCCAAGGCUGGAUUUAAAAUUGCUGGAAGAAACAUUAACACACUUAGAUAUGCAGAUAAUACCACUUCAAUAGCUGAAAGUGAGGAGGAGCUGAGGAAAGCGUUUAUCAUGCUUUCCAACAAUUUAUGUGAUUUGUAGUUUAUCAACUUCCCGUGUUUCUUAAAAUCAUCUCUACUAAACAUUUUAGAAUCUUAGAAUCUAAUAAUUAUUGAAUCUGAUAUGUUUAUUCUAUAGGAAGGACCACCAUGUCUGCAUAUUUGUUAACACAUAUAAAUAUUUCUGGAUGUGAUGCUAGUGACUAGACUACUAAACCAUUACUUUUGAUCUAUUUCAGGAAUGUUUAAGUGAAUACUUAGACCCAAUGAUGUUCCUGAUUGCAAGUUAUUAAUUCACACCAUGCCGAAAAAUGUCUCAGGCUGAAGCAAGUAACUGAGAAGGAGGAGGAGGAGCAAAAGUUCAAAAGACAUCAAGGCAAGAGAAGUUACAGUGCUGUUCCCGUGAAGGACAACAAAAGUUGAAAGUAGAUCACAGUGUACAGUAAAUUGAAGAAAUUGUUAUCAAGUUUCUGCAGCAUGUCUGGUUCUUCUUGGUUACUUCUGUUGUUGAGAACAGAAGGUAGCAUCUCAACUGGAAAAGUACCAGGACGGUUGGACCUCAAAAAUACGGUAGAUUGCUUACAGCAUGUCAAAUGAUCAACUUACUUGCACUGGCUGUUUUCGCUGGAGGAUUCUGGGGGUUUUAAUCCUAAAAUAACUUUUGCAUGCUCUGGUUUCCUUUAAAGAUCUAUUCUUUCAGUUUUGAAAUCCUUUAGCAAGUCUACUUUUGUAAAAUGAACACUUCAGCUUAGAUGAUUCUCUGCAUGUGGGUAUUAGCACUUGGGUACAAUGUGGAAAAUGAAGAUAAUUACAUUUUAAGUCAGUAGGAGCCAGCGUAAUAAAAUAGCAACAAGUAACAGAAGAAAAGCAUGUUAAUUAUUCUACUGUAUAAAGGCAAAAGGCAUAUAUUUAGAUAAAUGGCAAUUGUUCGAGCCACAGAAGCAGAUCAAAACCAACAUAUUAUUUACUUGGCUCUGCAUAAGAAAGAAGGCUAAAGAAUAUUCUUCUAUGUGCCUUUAAGGAAUACAUAAUAGAGGGUUUCAUUCAUGAGAGUUAAGUGUGUUAUUAAUGCAAAUAAUAAUUAGGCUCUGCUGUAGCAGCUCCGUUCUAAAGAAUAUAAUAGAAACUUCUGCAGUUAGAAUUCUCUAGAGGAUAAAUUUGUAAUACAUAAAGGGCAGAUAGGUGUGCCAAGAAUUCUCUGUAAUGCAUAUUUUAAUAACCACAAAUGCAUACUUGAGAACUAUA